UGGGCCAAGGCAGAAGACAAGCGGGAGAGACUGGAACAGCCAGAUCAUGCUGUCAGCAGUGGAGACUGGAGCUGGAGCCCUCACAGCAGUCAACAUCCUUGCCAUUUUGUCAUAAAUCGAAAAUGCUUCUUUUGACACUUCCCCCUUCCUCUCUAAGAGGCGUGGAGCCAGAGGCAGUGUGCACCCUGAGCAGUGAGAGCGGCACUACCAGGCUCCUUCCCCAAGAACUACACUCAGUAUCUCAAUGUCAACCCAUCAUGGCUUUGAACUCUGUGAGCAUCUGUGCUUCAUCUUUACUUAUUUUGUGAGUCUGUAAGCAAGAUGUGUCCUAAGGCUGAAAUGCCAUGACAACUGGAUCUCAGACAUUUUGGAUCAAGAAGAGGAAGCCAAGUAUUGAGAAUUGUGGAGCAGGAAGACUGAAAAAGUACGGAUCCCUGAUGAUCUUGUGAACUAUUCUACCAAUGGAGCUGCCACCUCCAGAUAUUUCACAUGGGCAAGAAAUAAACUUCUUUCUUCUUUAAGCCAUUCUUAUUUUUGAGUCUCUGUCACUUGCCAUCAAACUGAAAUCCAAGUCGUUUAGGAACCAUCUAUGGAAAAGAGGUGAUUGAAGAAGAGGGUCACUUGGGAAGAGUAAGGCUGAAGUCCAAGGCUGAGCCUGUGAACAGUGCCCACAGUCAUAGAAGAGGCACUAUCAAAAGAAACUGAAAAGACCAAGUGGUAGGAGUGGCAAGACAGUCAUCAAUGGUGGGUAAUAUCUUGGAACCCAAGAGGAGAAAGAAUCUCAGGAAGAUGUCUAAUUGAUUAGUCAGUCUGAUGUCUAAUUAUUCAAAGUGUUCAAGUGAGAUAAAG